UACGGAGGGGGCGAGCGUUAUUCGGAAUUAUUGGGCGUAAAGGGCGCGUAGGCGGCUGUACAAGUCAAAGGUGAAAUCCCUCGGCUCAACUGAGGAACUGCCUUUGAAACUGUACGGCUUGAGGCCGGGAGGGGGUAGCGGAAUUCCCAGUGUAGCGGUGAAAUGCGUAGAUACUGGGAGGAACACCAGUGGCGAAGGCGGCUACCUGGACCGGUUCUGACGCUGAGGCG
rnacentral:rRNA from 1 species